GGAUAUCGGAUUACUGGGCGUAAGCGCAUGCAGGCGGUUUGUUAAGUCAGAUGUGAAAGCCCGGGGCUCAACCUCGGAACCGCAUUUGAAACUGGCAGGCUAGAGUCUUGUAGAGGGGGGUAGAAUUUCAGGUGUAGCGGUGAAAUGCGUAGAGAUCUGAAGGAAUACCAGUGGCGAAGGCGGCCCCCUGGACAAAGACUGACGCUCAGAUGCGAAAGCGUGGGUAGCAAACAGGAUUAGAUACCCUGGUAGUCCACGCCGUAAACGCUGUCUACUUGGAGGUUGAGGUUUAGAAUUUGGCUUCGGCGCUAACGCAUUAAGUAGACCGCCUGGGGAGUACGGCCGCAAGGUUAAAACUCAAAUGAAUUGACGGGGGCCCGCACAAGCGGUGGAGCAUGUGGUUUAAUUCGAUGCAACGCGAAGAACCUUACCUACUCUUGACAUCCAGCGAAUCCUUUAGAGAUAGAGGAGUGCCUUCGGGAGCGCUGAGACAGGUGCUGCAUGGCUGUCGUCAGCUCGUGUUGUGAAAUGUUGGGUUAAGUCCCGCAACGAGCGCAACCCUUAUCCUUGUUUGCCAGCACGUAAUGGUGGGAACUCCAGGGAGACUGCCGGUGAUAAACCGGAGGAAGGUGGGGACGACGUCAAGUCAUCAUGGCCCUUACGAGUAGGGCUACACACGUGCUACAAUGGCAGAUACAGAGGGCAGCGAAGCUGCGAAGUGGAGCGAAUCCCUUAAAGUCUGUCGUAGUCCGGAUUGGAGUCUGCAACUCGACUCCAUGAAGUCGGAAUCGCUAGUAAUCGUGGAUCAGAAUGCCACGGUGAAUACGUUCCCGGGCCUUGUACACACCGCCCGUCACACCAUGGGAGUGGGCUGCACCAGAAGUAGAUAGCUAACCUCGGGGAG
rnacentral:rRNA from 1 species